UCUUGGAUUUGUCUAGAUACGGAUGUAUCUAGACUCAUUUUAGUGCUAGAUACCUCCGUAUCUAGACAAAUCUAAGACAAGUAAUUCGGAACGAAGGGAGUACAUG
rnacentral:pre_miRNA from 1 species